UAUUGCACAAUGGGGGGGAACCCUGAUGCAGCGACGCCGCGUGGGUGAAGAAGCGCCUCGGCGCGUAAAGCCCUGUCAGCAGGGAAGAAACUGACGGUACCUGAAGCAGAAGCCCCGGCCAACUACGGGCCAGCAGCCGCGGUAAUACGUAGGGGGCAAGCGUUAUCCGGAUUUACUGGGUGUAAAGGGGGCGCAGACGGCCAUGCAAGCCAGGAGUGAAAGCCCGGGGCCCAACCCCGGGACUGCCCUUGGAACUGCGUGGCUGGAGUGCAGGAGGGGCAGGCGGAAUUCCUGGUGUAGCGGUGAAAUGCGUAGAUAUCAGGAGGAACACCGGUGGCGAAGGCGGCCUGCUGGACUGCAACUGACGUUGAGGCCCGAAAGCGUGGGGAGCAAACAGG
rnacentral:rRNA from 1 species